rnacentral:misc_RNA from 1 species
AAGUCGUAACAAGGUAACCGUAGGUGAACCUGCGGUUGGAUCAUUAAUAAAAUUAUUAACUGAAAUGACUCCCUUUAAUCGGGGAGCUUUCUUUUAACACUUUGUGAACUUUAAUAUUGUAAUUUUGUCUUUUGGUGUGUUGGGGUGGGUUUAUUUUGUUUUCCUCAUUUUGGGUUUUUUAAAACUCAAGAUCUAUCGUUGAUUUUUUCUUGGUACAUUCUGAGGAAUUUUCGAUUUACCGCUUCAACCUUUGACAUUUAUUGAAUUAAUUUUUAAGCCUUAAAAAAAAUUUUAUAUUUUACAAAUUUUAAAACAACUUUUACAACGGAUCUCUAGGCUCUCA